AUUGAUUAUGACGUACUUGUACUGAUUGAGAUUUUAACACGAAGUGAGUGGCGAACGGGUGAGUAACACGUGGGUAACCUGCCCAGAAGUAGGGGAUAACACCUGGAAACAGAUGCUAAUACCGUAUAACAGAGAAAACCGCAUGGUUUUCUUUUAAAAGAUGGCUCUGCUAUCACUUCUGGAUGGACCCGCGGCGUAUUAGCUAGUUGGUGAGGUAAAGGCUCACCAAGGCAGUGAUACGUAGCCGACCUGAGAGGGUAAUCGGCCACAUUGGGACUGAGACACGGCCCAGACUCCU
rnacentral:rRNA from 1 species